rnacentral:rRNA from 1 species
UACGUAGGGUGCAAGCGUUAAUCGGAAUUACUGGGCGUAAAGCGUGCGCAGGCGGCUUUGCAAGACAGAUGUGAAAUCCCCGGGCUCAACCUGGGAACUGCAUUUGUGACUGCAAGGCUAGAGUACGGUAGAGGGGGAUGGAAUUCCGCGUGUAGCAGUGAAAUGCGUAGAUAUGCGGAGGAACACCGAUGGCGAAGGCAAUCCCCUGGACCUGUACCGACGCUCAUGCACGAAAGCGUGGGGAGCAAACAGG